GAGUGACACUGCAAGAUGUGUUUUCAUUAACCCCUGCAAGUUAAUGCGGCCAAUGAGUUCUCACGGCAUCGUUGGUGGCACCUGGGUGCAAUAAAUGCCAGUAAAA